GACCUUUCUCUGAUUAAGUUGGCUUUUGGCAGAUAGUCGUGUUGAUGGAGUUACUAAGUAUUUUAACGUCUCGCCAGCGAUUUAGGGAGAGUACAUGGCUGGGAGACUGAAGAAUUCCUUUCGAAGUCGUUUCCUUAUUUAAAGAGACUUCAAGUAAACAAGAAAGAAAAUGGUUGCUGAACAAAAGAAGCAUGGAAAUUCAAAGACAAUUCAGCAUUGGAAGAAUCUAAUAUAAACGAUGAAACAUCAAGACAAAUGCUUUUUUUCAAAGCUGUUUGAAGAAAAUUGACAUCUGAGAGGGAAAAAAAACAUCAAAGAGGUUAUAUCAACAUGCAAAAACAGAUUAUUAUUCAUAAACAGGUUGAUUUAACAUGCAUGACAGGUAAGUUCUCAAUGAA